UAGCUCAGACGGUAGAGCACUCCACUGCAAACGGAGAGGUCCUUGGUUCGAUGCCAGG
rnacentral:tRNA from 1 species